CCCUCCCCACUCGUUCUUCUCCUCUCUCCCACCUUCUGCCGCGGCACACUGCUCGUCCAAGCCGGCCAGAGGAACACGCGUUAGGGAUUCUGGUUUUUGGUGACCCUGGACGGCGAGGAAGUGGAGCACGACAUGGAGCAGCGCCCACUGCGGGGAGCCGUCGCGGCGGUAGUUGAAUAUGGCCACCUGGUGGCAGCGCUGGCCACCUCGAGGACCCGGCGACGGGGCGCGGUCGGUCCUGCAGCGGCAAAGGACUUCCACGUCCAAGUUCAUAUGGAACACAACUGCCCAAGAUCUUCUCUCUUUCUCCCCUCUGUAUUUCUAAUGCCCUAAAUCAUGUAUGCUAGUGCAAAUCCUAUGUAUAUAUGCCUACACCACGUUUUUUAUUUUUCGUGCAGAUUUCCAAUGAGAUGGCAGCUACAUGCCUAAUUAAUCAAACCUGAUUAGUGAUGAACUUGUGAGAGUUGAUAAAUUUUAUCCGUCUUAUUUACAGCUACAAAUUUCUAUGUUUUCUUGUAGUGUAAUAUUUUGUAUCUAAUCUAAGCCACGAUCGAGCCUGCCGCUGCGCAACGCGAUGUGCCAGGCGGAACAUUUGGUGGCCAGAAGAAGCGGCGCCUUACUUGAACGGGACAUUUUUCGUGGCAAAAGGACGGUUGAAUCGUCGUCGUCUUUCUACAAAGAAGGAUAGAGAGGAGUACGGGCUGCAAACGGAGCUGCAGUGUCGGGGGCCCUCAGAUGUGCCGCUGUCACUGCCCACAGUUAAAUACCUCCCAUCAGAGGCUCGGCGGGAGGAUUGUGGUCGCCACUUUGACAACUCUUGUCAUCGCCUCUGGUUGGCUCAACAGCCAGCCGCGACCACGGCUGUGAAUAUAAGUACAUGGAGCUCUGGCCAUGGUGUUGCAGGGAGGCGACGACGAGGCUUGUGUCCAGGUUCUUGGGCCACUUGUACAUUGCAGUUGUUGUAGCACAAAUAUCGUCUUCCUUCACAUAGGUAAUAGGUGCAUUCUUUCUGUACAUAGGUUAAUAAGCAGAUCAUAUGUUCUACUUUUUAGCUACAGAUUAUUUUAGCAUAAGAUAGAGUAUUCCUUAUUUGCUGGACUUUCGCUUUUUUGUAUGAAGUGUUAGAUCGCUGACAUGUUUGCUAGAAAAUACUCUAAUCAGAUCCUAUAUCUUUUUUUAAAUUUAAUCGUAAACUCUUCCUUUGAUGUACGUACUAUUUUUGUAUUUGAAGAAGUUGCCUGAACUUUCUUCUAAUUCAGAGAUAUGACUUCUUUUUUUACAUCAUUAUGUAUGGAUUUUUCUUUUUUUCCUU